rnacentral:tRNA from 1 species
UUUAGGAUCUUAUAAAAUAGAAUUAAUCUAUAAAUGACUAGGUAGUUUUGGAUCUAAUUACUUUGUGAUUUUA